rnacentral:rRNA from 1 species
UACGAAGGGGACUAGCGUUGCUCGGAUUGACUGGGCGUAAAGGGCGCGUAGGCGGUUUGUACAGUCAGACGUGAAAUUCCUGGGCUCAACCUGGGGGCUGCGUUUGAUACGUAUGGACUUGAGUUCGGAAGAGGGUCGUGGAAUUCCCAGUGUAGAGGUGAAAUUCGUAGAUAUUGGGAAGAACACCGGUGGCGAAGGCGGCGACCUGGUCCGAUACUGACGCUGAGGCGCGAAAGCGUGGGGAGCAAACAGG